AGUAGCCUCCAUGAUAAAUGUCCACAGGGGCAACGUCCUAAACAGUAGCCUGCAUGAUAAAUGUCCACAGGGGCAACGUCCUAAACAGUAGCCUGCAUGAUAAAUGUCCACAGGAGCAACGUCCUAAACAGUAGCCUGCAUGAUAAAUGUCCACAGGAGCAACGUCCUAAACAGUAGCCUGCAUGCAUUUCAAAACAAAAACUUUAAUGCAUGGGGCUAAGAUGGACGCUGAGUCCAAGGUGGAGGGGGCAGUUGACCAAUGGGGUCCCUCCAGGGAGUAUUACAUCUCCUCGUGAGGGACAUUUCCUCGUAUGCCACUUGAUGUCCAUGCAUCACAUGAGGGCCUGUAUGGAACCAUUGGGAAAAUGAUCAGUGUGUGUGUGGUCCUUGGAGGGGUUGGGCCACACUUCUUCUCUGAGCGACUCUUCGCAGCAGUGUGUGGGACGCCUGCUCCUCCACUCAGUCUGGAGGAGGUGAGCCACACUACUCUGAAAGCAUAUUGGAAAAUAUCAAAAAAGCAGAGGACCUAUCCGAGGUGAAGAACAAAUUGGAGGAAUCGGUAGACUGGCUGAGCCUACUGGGGCUGAAAAGGAUUGUUGUCAAGACAAUGGAGGACAGGGAUGGUGUGAUUGAAUUGGUGGCUCAACAAUUUGUCCGAGGGAGCAUGCAGGUGGCCUUGGAGCAGCAUUGGGGAACGACCCGGACAGCUUCCGAGUACUCUUUGUUGACCCCAUAAAGCCUCACUGCCAAGGACCUGAUGGACCUGUUUAAAGUAACCUAUUCCAUACCUGGCGGCAACCGGCGGUGGUUGGAGAACGACACCAUCUGCCACUGGUUCAACUGGCUGGCUGAGGUGCAAGAUGGAGAAUGUCCUCCUCUAACAGUGAUGAUGGUGUUGGAGUUUACUACUGGGGCAACGGGGGUGCCACCCCUGGGGUUUGAGGUCACCCCGACAAUCGAAUUCCUCCACACAGCGCGAGGGCGUCUCGCUGGGCAGCAGAAGAAAAAGUACCCAGAGGCAAACGUGUGUGCUGUCACACUAAGGCUCCCUCUUCAUAGCACCUACAAUGCCUUUAGAGAAUUCAUGACCUCCGGUAUUGUGAAUUCCCCGCAUUUCGAUGUUGCAUAAAAACAUUUUUAUGAUACC
ensembl:lncRNA